AAAGGAAUAGACGGGGACCCGCACAAGCAGUGGAGCAUGUGGUUUAAUUCGAUGCAACGCGAAGAACCUUACCUGGGCUUGACAUAUAUAUGACGGCUCUAGAGAUAGAGUAUUCCUUCGGGACAUAUAUACAGGUGCUGCAUGGCUGUCGUCAGCUCGUGCCGUGAGGUGUUGGGUUAAGUCCCGCAACGAGCGCAACCCUUAUCGUUAGUUGCCAGCAUUUAGGAUGGGAACUCUAACGAGACUGCCUGGGUUAACCAGGAGGAAGGUGAGGAUGACGUCAAGUCCGCAUGGCCCUUAUGUCCAGGGCUACACACGUGCUACAAUGGCAGGUACAGAAGGCAGCGAAACCGCGAGGUCAAGCAAAUCCUACAAAGCCUGUCCCAGUUCGGAUUGGAGUCUGCAACUCGGCUCCAUGAAGUUGGAAUUGCUAGUAAUGGCGUGUCAGCAAUAACGCCGUGAAUACGUUCCCGGGUCUUGUACACACCGCCCGU
rnacentral:rRNA from 1 species